CUGAGACAGAGCUUCAGAGUGAGAGGUUUUACACAUGACUCUACAGUACACAUCUUUGUGCUCAGGUACAACUUCAAUAAAAAUCUGAACUUACUGUACAU